rnacentral:lncRNA from 1 species
GGUUUUGCAUGAAGCAGCAGAACAUGAUGAAGCAUUUUUCCCCCAUCUAAAGAUCCAGUCGUGCUCCAGUUUGCAGAGGGCAAGGGGCUGGUUGCAGGUGGUGCUGGGAGGAUGGAGUAGAGAUGGGGUUUCACCGUGUUAACCAGGAAUGUCUCGAUCUCCUGACCUCGUGAUCCACCCGCCUCAGCCUCCCAAAGUGUUGGGAUUACAGGCGUGAGCUACCACGCCCGGCCCUAGGCUCCACAACUCUAAGAAGCUUUGGUGAGUAAACAGGCCUGAAGAGGUGAAAUCAUUUGCCAAGCACAGAACCAGGAUUCAAAACUUUGCAGUCUGGCUCUAGAAUGCCACCCCGUCCCACCUCAGGACUGGCCCUCUCCUGGGAAUUCCUUUCUCCCUCAUCCUCCAUGUCCUUUCUCUGUGGAGCCGUGUGCCCUGCCCAUAUCUAAGUACAUGUCCUGGGAUCCAGGGGAUGACAUAUACUGGAGUCCCUGGUGCCCAUGCCUUCUGACUCCUCCUAGACCAUGAGCUGAGGGGACAGAGAGUGGCUCUUGCACCUGGGGGGCUCAGGGUGUGUACAGUGGGUGAACAAAUGGGGGGACAUUUGAGGCCCAGGCAGAAGGACACAG